GACACGCAGGGCGCGCACAUAUUGACACGCUUGUAACGCCACACGGCUGUUACAUCAUCUGUGCUUCGGUCGCAGGGAGGCUUGCUUCCUCCGCGCUCCCCAACAGCGGCGAGUCAGCCCGGCGUCGCCUCGGCUGGGAAGAUAAGCGCGCGUGAAUAUUAAGUGAUGCUAAUCACAAUGGAGAGAGCGACGUCAGAGCGACUGACAGACGCUUCUCCGCGUUCAAUUGACAUCCUCAGAUUUGUCCUCCGCCUGACAAGCGGCAUCUCCCGACAUGACAAGUCUUGUUUAAGGCUUCCGGAAGAGGCUCGCCACGCGUGCGCACGCGAUUGGAGACGCGCUGACACUGAUUUUCGCUCGAACUGGGCCACUGUGCUGCCGUGCAAGACCCGAACGAGUGCUUCUGGAGUAGGCACACAAAAGAGCAUCAGUUUAUGCGCACGGAACAAAACAGAGGAUCUGCUUCAGGAGAAAGCCCCCCCCCCCCAAAGAAAAAAUGAAUGGCAGACGAGAAGAGCGUGUGGCUUGCUGUAUGAAAGCAGGGCCUGGCCUAAUGUUGCAUGAAGACCAUGGUGAAUUCAUAUUGAUGGGAAAGCAGCCUCUGAAGCCCAGCAGCCAUGAUUUUUUCAUAAGCCACCGGGAACAAGAAGUCAGUCAGCUGACAGGUGCUAACGCCGCCAAUUGUGCCGUGGAUAAGAGAUGGGACAUGGAGAAAAGAGGGAGAAAGGGAGAGAGAAAGGGAAGGCAACAAGCGGCUCCUCUUUUCUAAGAGCUUCCGCGUGCAGAAUGUGUACGUGCUGCGCUGUGUGUGCUCCCUGCGCCCUGUUCCCCUCUAUAGCUGGAGAGGAUUUUACGGAGGAGACUGUGUAAACACCAGAAUGCAUGUCAAAUAUGAUGAGUCUUGAUAGCUGUAAAACAUACCCAAGGACUGCUCCUCACUUAUUAUCUACAACCAGAGCCCUGGAGCUAUGUCUGCAUCCUUCUGCCUUCCCUCCACGCAUGUCGCGCCACAAGUCCCUCUCUGGAAAGCAUUGAUUAUUUUGGCAUGAGCCAGGGAGAAAGAGAGGUGUGAUUUCUUUUGUGUUUCCUCAAGAAAAAAAAAAAAAAGAAAGAAAGAAAGAAAAAAAAUCAGCAAAAAUAAAUAUUUUUGCGAGCAUGGUGCAGCCACGAGAAAAAAUAUGAGCACAUUGGGGAAGAAAUAAAGAUGAUGGAUUUGCUAGCUGA